GAGUUUGAUCAUGGCUCAGAUUGAACGCUGCGGCAUGCUUUACACAUGCAAGUCGAACGGCAGCGCGGGGGCAACCCUGGCGGCGAGUGGCGAACGGGUGAGUAAUGCAUCGGAACGUAUCCUGUAAUGGGGGAUAACGUAGCGAAAGUUACGCUAAUACCGCAUACGCUCGAGAGAGGAAAGUGGGGGAUCGCAAGACCUCACGUUAUAGGAGCGGCCGAUGUCCGAUUAGCUAGUUGGUGGGGUAAAGGCCUACCAAGGCGACGAUCGGUAGCUGGUCUGAGAGGAUGAUCAGCCACACUGGGACUGAGACACGGCCCAGACUCCUACGGGAGGCAGCAGUGGGGAAUUUUGGACAAUGGGCGAAAGCCUGAUCCAGCCGUGCCGCGUGCGGGAAGAAGGCCUUCGGGUUGUAAACCGCUUUAGUCCGGGAAAAAGGGGUGCGAGGAUAAUACCCUCGUGCUUUGAUGGUACUGGAAGAAUAAGCACCGGCUAACUACGUG
rnacentral:rRNA from 1 species